AGUGAUCUUGAUGGCAUGAUGUCUUCUAUCCACCACAGUGCAAGAUCAGCCUGUGGUGAAGAUGGUACCGCUAAUUCUGGUCCAUUGUCUCCACCUUCUUUUAAGCCAUAUACUUGUGAACAGUUGCUCUCUUUUACAAUAAUGCUUGUUUGUCUAGGUUUUAACUGUAUAUCUCAUUAUUAUCGUCUGUUCAUAACAGUGCUGAUAACAAGUGUGUCUGUAUUACGAUAAUUUUCUCCCCAGUCCCGUGAUAAAUGCAAUCCGGCACAAGCACGAUGGGCAUGCAAUCCAGUGGGCCUUUCAACUUUGUUGGACGGUGUCCUGCGUGCAAGAGCUGCCAUAAUCUGGUCUCCUAAACUAUUUCGUGAACAGACGGAGCCACUAUAUGAUGAACACUAGCAAACGUGACCUUAUAUUAUGUGUACAAUGAACCUUGCAUGGACCAGGUUACAUGGAAAUAGUGCAAUAGUAGGGGGCCAUAAAUUAAGAGGGUCCAGUUGCCACCCAAGUUGUUGGUUUUAAUAGGCUCUGCAAUGCUGUCUGGUAAUUUCUUUUAAUCCAUAUAUUAAUGUGCAUAUCCUCGUUUCAUACUAUUUUUUACCUUUGCCACUCCACUUGCAGGGCCUCAUCUUGUAUCACGCGCGUGCUAUUCACGGCGCAGAGGAAGAGAUGCUGUGGUAAUAUGUACUUGGUGGUCUGCCAGGAGAAACAGGCGUGCUGCUGGCAGCUGCAGGAUGAUCUACAUCUACCAGCAGAUUAAUCUGUAGGCAAAUUACUCCCUCCUGUCGCUCCUCCAUUCAUCAUUUGGGCUCAGCUACCUUGUGUUUAGCGGAAUAUUCAGAUCGACUUGUUGGGGUGAUAAUGUCGCCAUCGCUUUGACCGGGAAUUCUUGGCAAACCAUCAUGACGAUCGGUGCGCAAUGCAUAGAUGGGCCACAUCUACAAUGGGGUGUUGCCGUGUGCAUGAACCAAAACUUUGAAUUCUCGUAUUUCUUGCUGUCAAGUGGGGUUAUGCAUAUUCAAUUUAAUUAAAGGAUCGUACUACCAGCAAUUGCUGUGAAGCAUCCUCGGCAAACUGUUAUUAUGCAGAUUUUGAACGUUCUCCUCAUCGGUCGGCAUCAAAUUCAAAUUCAGGCAAGAAGUCAGUUGCUUAUUUCUAGUUUUCAGUUUUUUCAUAUGAAGAUGGCGUCUUUUCUACUUUUGGAAAAGAAUCAAGUGCUGAAACACACAAGACUAAAAGCAUAUGAUUUUUCUAUGCAUCUGUUUCGCUCA